UUAAUGGACAGUUCGUAUUAUGAGAUUUGUAUUCAUGAUAAUUAACCGCUAUUUCUGAAGAAAAGGUAAUAUCCUUAUCUGAAAACAACUUGAAAUUUUCAAACAAGAGAGCGCUAGACGAAUAUUCCAUAACCUAGAUUUAAUGUAAUUCUCCAAAAAUUGAAAUAUGAAUGAAAACAAAACAUUUUUAAACUGAUAUAUUUUGCUACUUAUUACUGUUAUUAUAUGAUUAAGUCAUUUUUCAGGCUGCGGAGGAUUACUGUAUGUAACCGUCAGUUGGGAUGAAUAUUCCUGUGGAAAUCAGCUCUUAGGUUUUCCCACUAAUGCCUGUGACAAAUUAGUGCAGCUUUCCAUAGAUGCUGGCAGGAUGGUCAGUGUAUCAGGAGUAAUGUUAAAAUUCGACAACUUCAGCUCAUUCUUUCCUUUUACAGGAAGGAAGUUUUUUCAUAUAUUUGCGAGUAACACACGCCUGUCCGUGUCUUACGUGAAUGGCGCUCUUGUAUGCCGAUACAACGAAACAGUGUUGGAAAAUCGCGAAAAUGAAACAACCUGGGAAAACAACACAACUAGCCUGAAUGUUGCA